AUUGAGCGCUGGCGGCAUGCCUUACACAUGCAAGUCGAACGGCAGCACGGGAGCAAUCCUGGUGGCGAGUGGCGAACGGGUGAGUAAUGUAUCGGAACGUGCCCAGUCGUGGGGGAUAACGCAGCGAAAGCUGUGCUAAUACCGCAUACGAUCUAUGGAUGAAAGCGGGGGAUCGCAAGACCUCGCGCGAUUGGAGUGGCCGAUAUCAGAUUAGCUAGUUGGUGGGGUAAAGGCUCACCAAGGCGACGAUCUGUAGCUGGUCUGAGAGGACGACCAGCCACACUGGAACUGAGACACGGUCCAGACUCCUACGGGAGGCAGCAGUGGGGAAUUUUGGACAAUGGGCGCAAGCCUGAUCCAGCAAUGCCGCGUGCAGGAUGAAGGCCUUCGGGUUGUAAACUGCUUUUGUACGGAGCGAAAAGGCUCUCUCUAAUACAGGGGGCUCAUGACGGUACCGUAAGAAUAAGCACCGGCUAACUACGUGCCAGCAGCCGCCGCGG
rnacentral:rRNA from 1 species